rnacentral:lncRNA from 1 species
UGAACUUGAUUAGGCGGUGACGUAUAUUGGUCGUGUUUGACGACAUCAUGGUACGAGAAUAGCGAACCAGUUCAGUUUAGGUCCUGAACUGAGUCGGAAUAAGAGAUGAUGGUAGGCCCACAGGACUAGAAAUCCAAUUGAACGUUUGUUUGGAGUAUGGAAACGUCAUUUUCCAAUACUGGCUAUUGGUACGCAAAUUAGCCUCAAAAAUUGUUUGCCUGUCAUUGUGGCCACUGCAGUUUUACACAAUAUAUUAAUAAAGGCAAAUGAAAAUUUACCACAAGAUGAUCCCCAUCUAGAACUUCCUGCACCAUAAAAACUGGUAGCACAGGGCAGAAUACAAAGGAAUAAUGAGAGCGUCAGGGAUAUAAAUCCGGAGCAGGCGACGAUUAAUCAAUAAUUAUUUUAGAAGUUUGCAAUUAAUUGUUCGGUAUUCCGAACACAAAAUGAAUUUAAGGAGUUAAACUCUUCCUUCAAUUGUAUCACAGCUUAAUUUUUUGCCGCGGUGGUUACCGCGUCGGUUUUAUUUUUAUUUUCAAUGAGAUCCUUGUAUAAUUGUAUUUUGUGAAAAAGUGUAUCAGGAUGUCUUUUUUAUUAGACGUAAAAUUUGGUCCACGAGCUUUUUUAAACAUUAUCACCGAUAGUCAAUAAAUUCAAAAUAAAAGGAAACACACAACACUCAAUCAAAACAAAACGUACUUAUCUUGACAUACAAUCAUAAACCAACUAAAUGAAUAACACACAGAUUACGUUUUGUUUCUGCAUAGUGAACGUCUCUUUAAUUUAGUACAUGUACGUAGUGUGUUCAAAAAGUAUCGCGAAUUUUGUGUAUUUUCAAAAAUUAUUUAUUUAUUCGUGAAUAUCUAUGUUAUCCCCUUCAAACUAAUCCCCUUGGGAUAUUAUACACUUGUGCCAACGUUUAUUCCAAUCUUCGAAGCACUUCAAAAAUGAUUUUUUUGUAUCUUGUUCGGCUCCUCCUUCGAUGCCGUCUUUAUCUCGUCAAUCGUGGCGUAGCGUCGUCCUUUCAUGGGCCUCUUCAGUUUCGGGAACAAGAAAAAGUUACAGGGGGCCAGAUCUGGGGAAUACGGUGGCUGUGGUAUCAUUAGUGUGUUGUUUUUGGCCAAGAAGUCGCGUACAAGCAGCGAUGUGUGAGCAAUUUUGGUACGAAUUUUGCGGCGACCCGUUUCAUGCCCAAAUUAUCGAUUAAAAUCGAAGUUCACGAGCCAAUCGAUAUGCCUAGGUCCUCGGCAAUUUGUCUAACGGUGAUUCGACGAUUGGCCAAUACCAUUUUCUUCACUUCAUCAAUUUUUUCGUCUAUUGUUGAAGAGCUCGGGCGUCCGGCACGCUCUUCGUCGUUCACAUCUUCUCGGCCUUCUGAAAAAAUUUUGUACCACCGAUAAACGUUGUCCAAAGUAGCUUCUCCGUAUGUCACAGUCAACAUUCGGAACGCACCUGCGCACUUAAUUUCGUUUUUCAAAUUUGAUACAGGUUCUUUGUUCCAUUUUUUGACUAGGUAAAUGUCGAAGACGAACCAAAACACGUCCAAGCAAAGCAGCUGUCAACAAUUAACUGAACAUUCAAAAUGGCCGAACUUGUCAACAUAAGUGAGAGACAUAUGUACCAACAUAACGCCACAAUUUUUUUUAAUUCGAAUAUACGUAACACGCGAAAAUUCAAAAUUCGCGAUACUUUUUGAACACACCUCGUAUAUCAUAAUAUGCUCCUAUGGAAAGUUGAAGACAUGGUCCGAAAUAAUAAUACAACCGACGGUGACAUUUUGUUUUGGUCGUAAUGUAUUAAGAGUGAACGGUUUGCAAAGCAUUCCCUCAAUGGUUGAUUUAGUAACGGGCUGUUAGAUAUAGUAGUUACGGGCUGUUAGAUUUUCCUUCAUGAGACGUUCGAUAUUUUAACACUCGUGUUAAUUCUAAUGCCCAAUUACUUAAUGCCGUUUAAUUAAGAAAUUGGCGACAUUGGACGUAACUCUCAAAAGCAGUUGGCAUGUCAUGUAAGGAAACGCAGGGCACUUAAAUUUUCAAAAGAAAUAAACGUUUGAAAAAUUAACUGAAAAAUUGAAUCCAUUUGCCAGAAAAGUUUUAUGGGUGCAAAUUAGACAAUGCACAUAAAAAGCUAAAGGGAGACGAUUUUCUCAUAAAGAAAAACUCAUUGCAUUAUCCGUAAUGAAGCAAAGCCCAAAAUGCUAUAGAUUCUUGCAAAGAAUAUUUAUUUUGCCUUUAAAGUGCACCUUAAAUAAACUUGUAACUGGUUUGGAUAUAGAGACUGGGAUCAAUACUCAAGUAUUUGAAGCAAUUAAACAGGAGGUAAUAAUUCUUUCACUUAGCAUGAUUCACAUACUUUAGCUCUUUUAAUAAAAUUUAAGAAAUUUGUGAAAUUUGCCAAAGUUAAUGUUAUUAGAUGUAGGAUUAAAUAAUAAUAAUAAUUACUAUAAUCAUUGUUUUCAUGUUAAAACAUGGAGGGGAAAAAAAAUUGUUCAAUAAUAUUUGAUGAAAUAGCCCUAGAAGCAGCCUUAACCUAUGAUAAAAAAAAAAGAUUCAAUAAUAGGGCUUGUCGACCUCUUUGGAAAAAAAAAUGAACUUGCAGGUCAUGCAUUAGUAUUUAUUAAGAGGAGCAAUUUAUAAAUGGCAACAGCCUCUGGCAUACUACUUUUGCAAGGGGGCAGCAUCUGUAGUCGAAAUAACGGCAAUUUUAGUAAAAAUGAUUAAUGAUGUCAGUGACAUAGGAUUGUUGCCAAUUGCUGUUGUCUGUGAUCAGGGCACAGCAUUUCAAUCUGCCCUAAAUAGUCUACAAGAAGACACACGGAGAGAACAAUUGAUUAAAGGCCGAAAAAUUGAUAAUGUUAUCUCCCUCAAGGGACAUGCAAUCAGCAUAAUUUACGACCCACCACAUCUCAUGCAGGGGCUAAGAAAUAAUUUUUGACAAAAAAUAUAAAAUAUGAAAAUAAAAUUUCUAAAUGGGAUGAUAUUGUAGAUAUAUAUAAAACAGACUGCAACCACGUACAGAUAAGGCUGUUACACAAGUUAAAUGAUGAACAUGUGAUUCCAGAGAAAAUAAAAAAGAUGAAGGUA